AUGGGGAAGUUGCCCAACACAGGAGUGAAGUUGCUUGAUAAGAACCGACACCUUGACAACUUUCCAGAUUCUGGUACAAAACAACAAGGCCAACUGGAUGUGUUGCCUAGGAAUGAUGCAAAACAACCAGUGCCUUUCGAGAAAUUGCCCAACAAUGUUAUCGAGUUUCCUGCAAGGAUCCAGCAACCUGCCACUUCAUACAUGACUGGUGGAAUAAAAACAGUGCCAGAGGAGAAGUUGCCUAGCCCUAUUGCUGUUUUGGUUGCAAGGACCCCUCAGCUUGCCAAUUCAACUACGAUGGCUGGGAAACAAACAGUGCCACUGCCCAACCAGAACUUGCCCAAUACUAUUGCUGACUUGCCUGCCAGGAACCACCAACCUGCCACCUCAGAUAUGAUCGGUGGAAAAAAAGCAGCGCGAGAGAAGAAGCCGAGGGGCACUGAACAGAUGAUGCCUGCAGGGACUGAUGUAAGACAUGCAGGUCCAGUAGCAAAGUUACUGAAAACUAACCUGAGUUUGCCUCCAACACACCUCCAAGGUGACACAAACAAGGAGAACUGGCCACCGACAAUAGUUAAAGAGCCAGCCAACGAACUCAAGAGUAGAAGGGUGUCCGGGAUGUGCGAUGACUACUGCCGAGCUCCAAGUUUUGAGUGA
rnacentral:rRNA from 1 species